rnacentral:rRNA from 1 species
GGGAAUUUUCCGCAAUGGGCGAAAGCCUGACGCAGCAACGCCGCGUGGAGGAUGAAGGCCCUCGGGUCGUAAACUCCUGUCAGUGGGGAAGAAUGCUUCGGUUUGACUGUACCCGCUGAGGAAGCCACGGCUAACUCCGUGCCAGCAGCCGCGGUAAUACGGAGGUGGCAAGCGUUGUUCGGAAUUACUGGGCGUAAAGGGCGCGUAGGCGGCUUGGCAGGUCAGGUGUGAAAUCCCCGAGCUUAACUUGGGAAUUGCACCUGAAACUGUCGAGCUUGAGUCCUGGAGGGGAUAGCGGAAUUCCCAGUGUAGCGGUGAAAUGCGUAGAUAUUGGGAGGAACACCUGCGGCGAAGGCGGCUAUCUGGACAGUGACUGACGCUGGGGCGCGAAAGCUAGGGGAGCGAAUGGGAUUAGAUACCCCAGUAGUCA